AGAAAACCUACAUUUUAUAAAACUUAUAUUCUGAUUAUGUAUUUAUUUCAAUAUUCUAACUAACAGAUGUCUUUUUAUUUACAAAAUAAGUAUGUAUUUAUGAAGUUUUUGAAAUUAGACUUGUAGGUUGAAAAAUGGCACGGUCACCAUACGUCAUGUUAUAGUUGUGAAAAACAAGUAUGGUAAAACCAUACAUUUUUGCAAAAAAUAAGAAUAUCAUCUCGGACGAAAUAUUUUUUGAUGAACAACCUGACACUGUUCACACUAGUUUCAAGUUUGAUUGUCGUUGUAGUUUUUUUUAACAUUUUUAAAUAUCAUUAUUCCUUUUUGGUUUGAUUCGAACAUCAACAAUUUUAUUAGACUCUAGACAUUUAAAUAUUUUUGCCUCAAACAUUCCAUAGGAGACAUUAAUUUUCGUAAUAGGCAUCUUGUGCAUGAACAUUGGUACCGUGUAUGUUGUAUUUUGCGACACCAGAAAAAAAUUACGUUACAUAGGAUCAAAUAGUGAAAAAAUUAAGUCAAUUGUAGUAAUAUAUAUA
rnacentral:lncRNA from 1 species